GGCCAUGCGAGCAAGCAAACCUGUCAGAAUAAACGUUCAAUUUGCGCGGCCACCCCAUGCCCAAUGAAAAGCGACCGGAAGUGACGGCCGACGCUGUACCAUCACCUCGGCGCGCGGCAGGACGGGAAGGCGGAAGCUGCGCCAUCAUGCUCGUUUUCGCGUGCGUUCGCGUCGCGCGCUGUGCGAAAUAAUUUUAAACGUGUGAUUAGUUUUGCGCGCGGGGUAGAAAAAGAUGUGGCCCUUGCUUUGUGUAUUACUCGUGCCCCACUUCAAAGCAGAGCGUUCGUACGCACUGGAAGAUGGAUCCACGAAGGCUGAAACGAGAAGUUGCAACGUGCCCGGUCGGUUGUACUGGCAUGACGGAAAUUUUCAGGCAAGUGCCCGUUUAUUUGGUAUUUGUUUUGUUCGCUUUAGAAAUAUCUCACUGUGAUCUCGUAGCAUAAUUCAUAAUUCGUUAAUGUAAGAGCAAGAGCAGCUGCACUCCUACUAGGGCAAGGGAACUACCUCGAUCGCGUCCCGUGUGACUAAUGUUUGUCAAAUCUGCAUCGGGCGUGGUGCGCCUGCAUAGUUACGCUUUGUUUCUCAGCGCUUGGGCGUUCAUUGAUGUGAUUCUCUUGUGCGUUCAGCGCGGCUGCUUGUAAUACGGUCGUUCGCACUUCAGUUAAAUGUGGUCGACCACUUUUGCGUCGCGUAGAAAAGGGACGACUGGCUUUGCCACCUUUCGAAAGAACCGGCGCGGUAUUGGUUCUCCCUGAUGCGGUCGCAUGCUGCUGUUGCUGCUUGCCGGACGCCUUCAGCAUUUUUUCGGCUCGCUUUGUCUGCGCGUGUGCGCGUGCUCGCGCUCGGCUCGAUUUGUGUGUGUGUGCGUGCGUGCGUGUGUGCGCUCAGCUCAGCUCGCUUUGUGUGUGUGUGUGUGCGUGCGCUCAGCUCGCUGUGUGUGUGUGUGUGCGUGUGUGCGUGCGUGCGUGCGCGCGCGUACAGUACAUGCCGGUUUGUAUGGGCCGGCGUGUUUGCGCGUGUCUAGUGCGUGCGUGUUUUGUGAGUGUGUUGCCUGUGGGUCGCUGUGUGUGCGAGCACGUGUUAGCGUGUCUGCCUGCAUGCAUGUAUGUGUGCAUCAAUGUGUGCGUGCGCACUUUUGUGUCUGCGCUUUGAGAGUGCGUAUACUUGUGUGUGCGUGUGAGUGCGUUUUGUGUGCGUGCGUAUGUAUUGCAUGAGGCCGGUAGUUUUACUCGCAAAAAAAAAAACUCUUCCGAUUUGGUGCAGCGAGUGUUCCCGCCUGAAAGCCGAGUUUGGUUUCAAGCCACUCUGGACAACUGCUGUAUGAGGCGCCGUUUCUCUGGAGCACCAGUGGGAAGGCGCCAGGUCAUGCAGAUGGCAGCAGCAAUUUCACAAUGCCCAGCCUUGGCGCCCCCCAUCAAGAGCAAGCCACUUGCGUUCGCCUUCAGACAGAUGGUUAAUGUCUUCUUGAAAGCGGUUGAGAAGACAACAUGGAUGCAAGAUUCCAGCAAUGCCAUGCGCUGCGUUGGUCAAGAUGCUCAGAGAAUGGAGUCCCUGCACCUCGUGGUUAACCGUGAACAUUUCUUUUUCUUUUGGAAAGCUAAAGGCCAUUCGCUGCAUGACUUGCAUUUUUGCAGCUCGGAUGUGUACUAUAUUUUUCUAAUUUUGAAUCAAUAUUGGCUGUUCAGUAUAAAAAAUGAUGUACAGCGUGAAGGACAAGGACUGCGACAGACACACUCCACCGACUUUCAACAAUAUUUUAUUGCGUUGACACAUCGUGUGUGUAAACAUAAGAGGGGUCAUGCGCAGAAAAUGAAAGCCAGUCACAAGGGGUGUUCUAACAGCAAGUCAUUGUAAAAAGAACAUGUUACUUGAAAAAAAAAAGCAUCACAAUUUCUAUCUGUUUAGAUACAAAAUUUCUCUAGGGGUCAGCGUGAUAGAGGGGGCACUAACGCACACACUACCCAGUUUUCUGGUGAAAUCAGCUUCAAUAAUUUACUGGGUGAGCUGUGUCUCGCUAGACCUUCCGUAUCUUCAAAGAGGGCCAUGCAACCGCAGUCCUGGCAAUGAAUGCCCAAGUGGCCUUGAACAGUGUUAUUGACGUUGUUAUAGUGCUCUCUUAAACGAUCAUUUAGGCACCUGCCUGUCUGUCCAAUAUAUUUACUGCCUCAAAAUGGGAAUUUGGGAAACCACAUUCGUUGCACACAUCGCAAAACGUUUUCUGUGCCCGGCAGAGCAACAACUCUGAUGCGAUUUAGGCGCGUUUACACGCUUACAGAGCCUUGCCAGCUUUUCCGGGGCUGAGGAAAGACUGUGAUUCCUGCAGGUUCCCCAAUCUUUUUUAGCCUAUGGGAGACAUCAUGAACAUACAAUAGCACUGCAAACCUGUGUCUUUCAACCGGCUGGUUCCUUGACCGAGCGUGCUCAUCAUGUUUUGUGCACUUCAGAAGCUGUUCCGCUAUGGCUGAAAUUAAGGCCAAAGGGUAGCCAACGCAAGAAAGGCAAUCAACCUGUGCAGCAACACUAUGUUGCAUCUCGUGUGAGCAAGAUUUAUUGAGGCUGUUAAGGAGGCAAAGCUUUACAAUAUCUCAUUUGACUUUGUUGGACAGACAGGCAGGCGCCUAAACAAUAAUUUAGGAGAGCACGAUAACAACGUCCAUAACACUGUUCAAGGCCACUUCGGCAUCCAUUGCUGGGACUGCGGCUGCGUGCCCCUCUUUGAAGGUACGGAAGCUUUAGCGAGACACAGGUCAUCCGGGAAACUAUAGAAGCAGAUUCCACUAGAAAACUGGUUAGUGUGUGCGUUAGUGACCCCUCUAUCGUGCUGACCCCUAGUGAAGACUUGUAUCUCAACAGAUAGAAAUUCUAAUGUUUAUUUUUUUCAAAGGACGAUGUUCUUACUACAGUCAUUUGCUGUUAGACACCCUUUGUGACUCAUUCUGCGCAUGCCCGCUUUUGUACAUAUACACAUGAUGUGGCAACGUAAUAAAAUGUUGGAAGUCAACGCAGUCUGACAUCUCUCGCAGUUCUUGUCAUUCAAGCUGUACGUAAUUUUAUCUCAUUCAUUGCAAACUAUCCCAAGAAACUACCCUUGUUCAGUAUAAUUAUCAUGUUUGAUACGACCAUUUGCUGGCAAAUGUUAACAGUGUGAUAUUGAACUUGAACUUUUGCAUGACUGCCUAUGCCUGUGUUCUUUUAGUAACCAGAGUAUGGCUAAUUUAUUAAACGAAGUUUGCUAAUUUGCAUGCUCACAUGCUACAGCACGCCUUAAUCUUGAACUACUGCAUCCAAGUGCAAAUAAUUUAGAAAUUUACUAGGUAUUUUAAAACACUCCACAUUUUGUGCUCAGCUAAAUCGUUUAAUCAACAGUGGUUUGUUUUUAUCAGGCCUCCUACUGCAGUUUGCACCCAGGCACUAGUAGAUCUGGAAUAUGCACUCUUGAUUUAUAGUAAGAAAAGAACCUAUUUUCAAACUACAUAUUGUAGAUGUACCAGUGCCUUCGAGUUACAAAACAAAAAUUUAUAGAGACUGGUAUUGUAGUUAGAAAAACCGCUACACAGCACCUUUAGCCCAGAGAACUCUCGUUUCACAAAAGAGGACAAACUAUGUAGGCACUAAAAAAUUCUACGUAUUAUUGUGCUCAAGUAAUCUUGUGGGAAAUAGAAAAUUACCAAUAAGGCUCCUGGCUUAAACCUCACUUAAAGCAUGUCUAUGCUUGGGAAGUAUUGUUUCAGUCUGAAAAAUGUUGGCCAGUUCUGCUUUACAUCGACUUUCCAAACUUUUCAUAAUGUUUUGGGAUUACAUUAGUGUACAAAAUAACAGGUGUCUUUCUUGUGCGUUUGCUCUGCAUUUCAAUUGCUUCCCUAAUUCACCUUUGCAAUAUGCCUUUUUUUAAGGCAUCAGAACUUGAAUUUUUGUUCACUGGAGCCUAAUACUAAAAAUUUAUUCCUUUAUGUGGCCCAAAACACUGCGAAUCAACCCAGGCUAUUUCAGUGCCGCUAUACAUAGUUUCUUCUCUAAUAACAGAUUUGAUCAAUACUUAUAUUUUAGAUACCUUUGUGGGAAAUGUACAUGUUCUUGUACUUACCGAUGUGUUUGGUGAUUGUGCAUGUUUAUAUUUAAUGUGAUUUAUGUAUAUAUUGUACUCUGUAUUGCAGCAUGCAAUAAAUAUAGUUGCAUUUUCUUGAAAAUGCAGCAUAUAUCUUACCAGUCUGUGUUGCAUGUUAUUUGGAUAUGGAAAUCAUGAUAGCCUUGGUGUUGAUAUACAUGCUCAAAAGUGUCAAGUUUGCUAGCUUGUAUUUGUGCAGCGAAUACAGGUUUUCCAAUAUACACCAUGAAUUACUAAUAUGUAAUGUGAUCCACACUUAUAGGUGUUGUGUAUGCCCAUCGAAGCUUUAAGGCCGGCUGUUCGACGGUGCGUUUGGUAGCCGAACUUGAACCUUCUGGCACACGCAAUAGUUGUGCGUGGAUCGCUGUACAUAGUAGUAAUUGAAGGCGUGUACUGCCGAACCUGCCUUCCAUACACGCUAGAGAUAAAAGAGUGUACACCCUUCCAA